CCUACGGGAGGCAGCAGUAAGGAAUAUUGGUCAAUGGAGGCAACUCUGAACCAGCCAUGCCGCGUGCAGGAAGACGGCCCUAUGGGUUGUAAACUGCUUUUGAACUAGAGAAAACCUUGGUACGUGUACCGAGUUGAUAGUAUAGUUAGAAUAAGCAUCGGCUAACUUCGUGCCAGCAGCCGCGGUAAGACGAAGGAUGCAAGCGUUAUCCGGAUUCAUUGGGUUUAAAGGGUGCGUAGGCGGACUGAUAAGUCAGUGGUGAAAUCUCUCAGCUUAACUGAGAAACUGCCAUUGAUACUGUUAGUCUAGAGUACAGAUGAUGUGGGCGGAAUAUGACAUGUAGUGGUGAAAUACUUAGAUAUGUCAUAGAACACCGAUUGCGAAGGCAGCUCACAAAACUGUAACUGACGCUGAGGCACGAAAGUGGCGGGAGUACAACAGAGUAGUAUACCUACGUAGUACGCACCGUAACGAUAGUAUACUCGUUGUUGGUCGAUAUGACAGUACGAGACGACCGAACGACGAAACGACGAAGUAAGUAA
rnacentral:rRNA from 1 species